rnacentral:snoRNA from 1 species
UACAUGUGGUUAGGGCAACUAUUCACUAACCUGUUGAAUCGAUCCCAGUAUUCAUAUAAGCUCUCACCAUCCUUUUGCUCAAUUCCAACAAUCUGUUUCUGAAUCA